AUAGGCACUAAGAAACUCGAGAGAUCCUGUCUAAAUAGAAUACAAAAAAGGGCUGGGAAUGUGGCUCAGUGGUUAAGUGCCCCUGAUUAAAAAAAAAAAAGUCUUAAGUCAUCUAAGGUUUUAGCAUUUGAUCUUCCUAAAAUAGUCAAUUUGACUCUGUCAGGUAGUAAAAUAAAUUCAUCAAGCUAGUUAAGAUACUCUUUGUAUAUUACACUUUUUUAAUAUUUAUUUUUUGAAGUUGUAGUUGGACACAAAAACUUUAUUUUAUUUAUUUAUUUAUUUUUAUGUGGUGCUGAGGAUCGAACCCAGGGCCUUGCACAUGCGAGGCAAGCUCUCUACUGCUGAGCCAUAACCUCGACCCCUAUUAUACUUUUUUAGGACAUGGAAUACUGUUACAUGUUUUCUUUUAAGGAGGAACUCUUUCUAGUAGACUGUGAUCUUUCUCUUGAGGAGGAAUACAAGUUUAUGCUCAUUUUUAUCUCACCCAGUGACCAGGCAGUGUCUGUUACAGAUUAAAUAACCAACUGAUAAAGAAUGAAGGUGUGGUCAACAUUUACAGUGAGUAUAUUAUGUGCCAGGAAUUGUUCUAAGUAUUUCACAUCAGUGUUUCUUGAAGCCUGGUCCUAGACCAGCAGUCAGAGCAUCAUCUGAAAUUUGUCUUAAGUAUAAAUUUCCAAUCAGAAAUCCUCUUGCUCUCAUCUGUUCCCUCAUUCUUCCAGGUCAGUGUUGAAAAAUGUUAAUAAUAACUGUUGAGUGAAAAGAGGAAAUAUAUGAAUGCACUAUAAAAUCCAAUGAAGGGUUUAUUGCCUUAAGAUUUUCUUUCUGUGGUGUAUAAGAGGCCAAGGCAGGUUUGAAUAAACAAAUUAUGGUGCAUUUUCUAGAAGGGAUUCCACACACCGUAAAUCAUGAUGAACAAGAAUAGUUUCUGAUGUGCAAAUGUUUAAAAUACAGUGACAAAAGAAGAAACUGCAGCAAUAAACCCGGUAUAUUAGGACCCAGCCCAGCCCACACACUCCAGAGAUCUGGGGCAAGGUCUGAGCCCUGCACACUGCUCUGUGACCUCCCAACUCAGCCAAGUGUGGUUGUAGAGAUACAGGGGUGUGGUACUGUGUGCCCACCCUGCUGGCUGGGCUUCCAGUGGUGGCUCUCUGACUGCCUGUCCUUUAAAGCACUUAACCCUAGGUGAGGAUCACUUUCCUUCAUUUGUCUGGUUCAGAGUAGGGUCUGCAGGCCAGGAAUGAAUGGACAAAUGAGUAGAUGGUGGUGAGCAAAUGAAAUAUCUAGAAUUUGGUCACAAGGAGGAUGCUAGUGACGUUGAUCAGGCUGUGGGUGCAGCUAGCUAUAGGGCAAGGACACUGAGAAGUUCAGAGACUGGCCCCUGAGAGAGUACUCAUGGGGCUGGAGAGGACGUAGGAUACACAGUUCUUAGGGCUUAUACAAUGUGUGGUGCAGAAGAUUCGGCAGUCCUGCCUGAAGGUCAGAGGUCAGGGCUCACCAGGCUGGGUACCUAGAAGCAUGAACUUCACUGACCUGCAGUGUUAGCUUUCUAUAAUUCUAACAAACACCAGAAAUGAUCAAAUUAUAUGGAUUAAAGAUCUCUUCUACCUGUCAGGUGUGGAUAUUUUGGUCCAUGAUCAGUUGACUCCAUCACUUUGGCCCUGAAGUAUGGAAGUCGAUCAUGGUAGGCAGCACAUGGUAGAGAGGAUCUGCCCACCUCAUGGCAGGUACAGGAAAGAGGUAAAGAGAGAGAAAUGGGGACUCCAUAAUCCCCUUGAAGAGCACACCAUCUAUGACUGGAGACCUUCCACAAGCCCCAGAUCUUAAAGGUUUCACCAUCUCAACACUGCCAUAAGAUCAGACUGCAAAUCAGUGACCCUUCUGCCUGCACUCCCUGCUCAACUUCCAGCUAAAGAACUUGAGAUGGCUUUUAAAAAACUUGUAAAAAAAAGACAAAAGUUAGAAACUGUGCAAUGUGAACAAAACAGAAGGUUACAGUGUGCUGCAGUCCGGCUGCAGCAAAAUAACCGGGGGGUGGGGGGUGAGGAACAACUUGUGUAGAUUGAUACAGCAGGAGUAGGAGCCAUUUAUUGCAGGACAGGAGCAGUAUUGAUACAUUCCACACAGCGUAUCUAAUUAGCAUAAACUAGAUACAUCAGUCAAUCAAUAAGGAAUCUCCACACUUAAUGGCUCACUUUUGUUACUUCUCAAACCACUCCCUCUGGCAUUUUGCCAGGCACCAUCCAGACUUGUUUACGAACUCUAACAUUCCCCUGGCAAAAAGCCAGGUGUUAUUUUGACUUGUUUACAGACUCUAACAUUUUUUGUUUCUUUUUGUUACAAUAAUACUUCAGGAGAAUGUGCCC
rnacentral:lncRNA from 1 species